GGCCUUUUGUUUAAAUUUUAAGGUCUAACCUGCUCGCUGAGUGUUUAAAGGGCCGCGGUAUUUUGACCGUGCUAAGGUAGCAUAAUCAUUAGUUUCUUAAUUAGAAGCUGGAAUGAAUGGUUGAAUGAAAAAAAAACUGUUUCAAAUUAAUUUAUAUUGAAUUUUAUUUUUAAGUAAAAAAGCUUAAAUUAAUUUAAAAGACGAGAAGACCCUAUAGAGUUUUAUAAAUAUAUUUUUUAAAUUUUUAGAAAUUUUAAUUAUUUAAUUGAAAAUUUUAUUUGAUUGGGGUGAUUGAAAAAUUUAAUAAACUUUUUUUAAUUAAAACAUUAAUUUAUGAUUAUAUGAUCCAAAUUUUCUGAUUAGGAGAUUAAAUUACCUUAGGGAUAACAGCGUUAUUUUAUUGGAGAGUUCAAAUCAAUAAUAAAGUUUGCGACCUCGAUGUUGGAUUAAAAUUAAUUUUUGGUGUAGAAGCUAGGAAGUUUAGGUCUGUUCGACCUUUAAAAUUUUACAUGA
rnacentral:rRNA from 1 species